rnacentral:tRNA from 1 species
AGCCCGGUGGUGCAGCGGCCAAGCACAGCGGCCUCUGGAGCCGCAAACACCAGUUCGAAUCUGGUCCGGGCUACCA